GCCCCGCCCACUGAACUAGUAGGACUUCAUAUCCCAUAAUCCACUUCCCCAACCACGUGACUCGACUUCCCCCAACCACGUGACUCCGCCUCCUGAGCAGCCACAUUGGAUUCCCCCUGCAGCAGCAGCAGCAGCAGAGAGAAUCACCUGACCCUUUGCAGUGCAAAAUGGCCACCUUGGGGGGGUUGACACAUUCCCACACUUUAUUUGUUGAGGACGACGGGACCCCAGUGAGAUUCUACAUACCCCCCGGUCCUCUAAAGCGCCAGCUGUACCAACUCAUUAUUCACGGAGGUGGGGAAAUGUGUCGGCUGCAACAGCCUGGGGCUCUGCUUCUUUCUACACCUGGCAGUGCCCAAGGGGCUCAGUAUGUAUCCACCGCCUACGUCAUGGACUGUGUAAGGAAGGGUGAACUUCUUGAUGUAGAUGAUUAUCGACUGGAUGGAAGUCAUGGAAGGAAGAGGCAAAGUAAGGGCAUGAAGCAAGAUGAAAGAGAGGGCGAGAGCAGCCAUGGAAGUGAUGGGAAAGAACAAGUUAAGGUUGGUGAAGGCCCAGAGGAAGAAGAUGAGCUCUCUGAUCUGGGGGAACUGGUUAUUGAGGAAGGUUUGGAGGAGGAUGAGCAGGAGUCUGACACUGUCAAAAUCAAAAAAGAGAAUAAGAUGGACUGUUCUGAGGCUCAGAAAAUUGGGUCUCUCAAAUCAGCCCGUAUACAUCAAACAGGAAGAAAUCCCUUCACAGAAGAGGAAGAUGUCGCUAUCCUGGUGUACGUGAGGGAUAAUGCCCCCCACCGAGGCACGGUCACUGGCAUAGCCCUAUGGAAAGAGAUGGAGCAGAGACGAGUGCUAAAAAGGACGUGGCAGGCAAUUAAAGAUCGAUACAUAAAGCACUUGAAAGGCAAGCAGGGCUACAGGUUGCCACUUUCUGCUGCUUCCCGCUCACACGACCCUUCAGAAGACGAAAGUCCUCAGCCAAUAACAAAGAAAUCUCGAACCAACACAUCAACCCCUUGGACGAAGAGGCCUGGAAACAUAGGGAGAACCUCUGAAAAAUUGGGCACAGCACUUCCAAUGGAAAAGUCUUCUACAAAAGCGCGGGCGGAACAAUCCGAUGCUGUCGAAAGCACCAGCAUAAACUUUCCUUUGGAGAAAAGGGGGCAACAUGUUACUAAGGGUGUCGUUAGGAGGUCAGAAGGGGAAAAGAAAUCGAGUGAUAUGAGUAAAGGAGCAGUCAGUGCCACAUCUAAAGAGGAUCAAGAAGACGGGGGAGAUUUGCACAUAUUUGAAAUUGCCAACAUGGAAUUUGAGGUUGACGAUACCCCAGAGAUUGAGUUGCCGAAAAGGAGCUUGAGUCUUAGAGAGUUUGUGAUGGGAGAGGAUCCCCCCAGCUCUCAGAGUCAGACCCAAGUGGACGAAGUUUCCUCAAGUCCAGAGGAUUCUGAGAGUGAAGGUCUCCAAGAAGCUUUGCUUGGCAUGAUGUCAGAGUUCAAACUCCGCCUCCGUGAUGUAACUCAAGCGCUGCUCAAAAAUAAUGGCGAGCUGUCGGCCACGAGGCAUUUCCUUCGGACUGGAUCUCGGCCUGAUGGUUUUCCCAUAUGGAUCAGGAAGGAUGACCUGGACUUGCAGAAAGCUGAUGCAGAGACUCAGAAAAGGCUGAUCCAAAAAUAUGGUUCUGAUAAUGUUGCCAAGAGAGUUGCUUUCUUAGCCAGUUAGAACCUCUGUCCAUGUUUAUAUAACUUUUUUAUUGUAAAAACCACUUAUUGGCUGCAGCCUGUGCCCCUUCUAUGUACAUGUUACCCACUUCCAUUUGGACAAUCCGCCAUUUUUCUCUUCCAGAUUUACUUUCUACUCCCGUGCUUUUCUUUAGAGACGGAGCUGCAACUCAUCUCUGGCGUUUGCGCCUUUGCUUUUCUUGCCAAUUGUCUCAUUCCUGGAAAUCCUGCUCUUCAGGAUGAAGCUAAUGAUUUAUUCGCUUCCUUUAUGAAAUUGUCGCUUAGGGGCACAACUUGGCAAAUACAGUUUUUUUUGCAAGAUUAAUACAAGAGACCUGAUAUGAAAUUCAGCAAACGCAAAAACAUGGUUUCACUGUGGUUUGUAUGUUCUGCGUUUGUUACGGUGCAGUCUUUGCCUCUCUGGCUGUGCAGAAAUAAAAUAAAUGAAAUGUUAAAUAAUA